rnacentral:lncRNA from 13 species
CUCCAGGAAGCCCUGCUAGUGGGCUCCCCUACCAUCCAGGCUCAUCCCGGUUACAACACCCAACUGCUCUCUUGAAAUAGAAGGUUUACGUGUCUGUGUCUCUCGCCCCUGAAAGGGAAGAAUCAUGCCUUAUUUUCUGUUGUGGUUUCUCAUCUAGGUCAGAGCUUGGCCCUAGGAUGUGUUUGUCAAGUGAACGAAUGAAUGAAUAAAUAAAUGAAUGAGAGCACCACCCUUGGAUCAGGCUGCCUUGAUUGGCACUGCAAAAUCUGUUCUGCCAAUGCCAAAUCCAGUCUCCCCAUCCUGGUAUCUGCACUGUAUGGAGAUGGGGGAGAUGAUGGGGGAGGACUGAUGUUCAGAUGGUGA